UGAUUUGAUUUGCCUAUACAGAAUCCAAGCU
rnacentral:piRNA from 1 species